rnacentral:rRNA from 1 species
UACAGAGGGGGCUAGCGUUGUUCGGAAUUACUGGGCGUAAAGGGCGCGUAGGCGGUCGAUUAAGUUAGAAGUGGAAGCCCAGGGCUUAACCCUGGAAUUGCUUUUAAUACUGAUAGACUAGAGACCGGUAGGGGGUAGUGGAAUUCUUAGUGUAGGAGUGAAAUCCGUAGAUAUUAAGAGGAACACCAGUGGCGAAGGCGGCUAUCUGGACCGGUUCUGACGCUGAGGCGCGAAAGUGUGGGGAGCAAACAGG